GAUAAAGUUGCUUCCAUAAAAAUGGAAAUUUAUUUUGUUUUCUUUAAUCUUCACUUAAUUGCUUUAAUUAUUCUGGCCUACAAAUUCGUGUUACUCCUUCACCAUUUCGUUGAAAUUACUUUUCCCUAAAACUUGGUUAUUUUCUCAUACGAGAACGUAAAUAUAAUGUAACCCUUUUACUGGUCGUGUUGAUGUUCGUAACGAAUCGGUUCAAUUAACUUGUGGUCAAACCGCAAUGAAUGAAUGAUGAAUUAUUAAAAACGCAGGUUAACGUAUAUGCAGAUGCAAUGAUUUUGUUCAUCAUUUACGACCACAAACUGUGUCAAUUAUCAGUUGCUACUAAUUUAUUAAAGCUUGUGAAACUGGAUAUUGUUACCAUACAGGUCGGCAGAUAUGGUCCUGGUUCAUCGAUUUUCCAUUGGUUUCGUGGCUCUUCCUGCAGCAUUGAGUUGAUCUGCAGAUUUAAUUAAUUGCGGUUGGCACUUUUGUUCUUCGCUUAUUUGUUUUAUAAAUUUGUAUGUUAAUGUGAUUGAAAAUGUACAGAAUAUUUUUUAC